GAAAUGACUCGUGUGUGUGUGUGUGCACGUGUGAGCUUGGAGGUCCGGUGAGGAUCGCAACAGCGGCCACGAAGGAUCAGAAUGGCACUAGUGAGUGGCUGAAAAAGCUCCCCUGAGGAAAAGGACCCCUUCAGCACAGCAGCAGUUUUCUUAGGAAGCUGUUCCUUCCAAAAUGCAUUCUGGUGCCCUAGCCACGAAGGGACGUUUCCCAGGGCGGCAGAAGACUGUGGAUGGUUCUGGAGGCUCCAGUUACACUGAAACCCUGGAGGAGGACACCUCGUGGAAGUACAAAAGACACAGGAGACUGCUUCCCUGGCCAACUCCAACAGUAGGAGUCUAUCUCUCAACUCAGCCGGCCUCUGCGUUGGAUCUCUUUGUCUCGAAGAUUUGCAACUCUUUCUGGCAACCUCAGAAAUGGUGUGGCCACGGUGGAGUCUCGUUCCAUCUGUGUUCUCUUCAACUAAUGAAAAACUAUGGAGGUCUCAUUAAGCAGGAUACACGGGAAGUCUCUGUGCUUUGGAAUUGGCUGAUCGAGAAUUUGGAGAACGGCAGUCAUCGUGGACAAUGAUGCACACCACUGUAAGGGGGCCAGCACGCGGUGGAGGCCAACUGCUUUCCCACGGUCUCCGUCUGAAUCCUGCCUUCCCC
rnacentral:lncRNA from 1 species